AUUGAACGCUGGCGGCAUGCCUUACACAUGCAAGUCGAACGGCAGCGGGGACUUCGGUCCGCCGGCGAGUGGCGAACGGGUGAGUAAUGUAUCGGAACGUACCAUUCAGUGGGGGAUAACUAUCCGAAAGGAUAGCUAAUACCGCAUAUUCUGUGAGCAGGAAAGCAGGGGAUCGCAAGACCUUGCGCUGAUUGAGCGGCCGAUAUCAGAUUAGCUAGUUGGUGAGGUAAAGGCUCACCAAGGCGACGAUCUGUAGCGGGUCUGAGAGGAUGAUCCGCCACACUGGACAUGGGACACGGUCCAGACUCCUACGGGAGGCAGCAGUGGGGAAUUUUGGACAAUGGGGGCAACCCUGAUCCAGCCAUGCCGCGUGAGUGAAGAAGGCCUUCGGGUUGUAAAGCUCUUUCGGCCGGGAAAAAAUCGCAUGGGUUAAUACCCUGUGUGGAUGAUGGUACCGGAAUAAGAAGCACCGGCUAACUACGUGCCAGCAGCCGCCGUAAGAC
rnacentral:rRNA from 1 species